rnacentral:rRNA from 1 species
AUACGGAGGGUGCAAGCGUUACUCGGAAUCACUGGGCGUAAAGCGCGCGCAGGCGGCUUGAUAAGUUGGAUGUGAAAGCCUACGGCUCAACCGUAGAACUGCAUCCAAAACUGUCAAGCUAGAGUCUGUGAGGGGAAGAUGGAAUUAGUUGUGUAGGGGUAAAAUCCGUAGAGAUAACUAGGAAUACCAAAAGCGAAGGCGAUCUUCUGGAACAGUACUGACGCUGAGGCGCGAAAGCGUGGGGAGCAAACAGAAUUAGAUACCCCAGUAGUCC